AGAUCGUCAGUAGCUCGGAUUCGUUCGUUCGAGACGUGUGCAAAAUACGCCGUGUAGAUUGUGGAAAGUUGCAAAAUUAGAAGAAGGCGGAGCUGCUAAGCCGAAACCGAAUCACGUUGCAAUCCAAUAUCUCGGAACGACUUUCGUGGAAUCUAAUUCACGCGGAACAACAAUCCAAUCGCGAAAGUUGCUCGUCGAGGACAGAGGCAGAGAGGAAAGAUCGAUUCGCCAUUAAGAGAAGAAGAAUCGAGUGAAAAUAAUUCGAAAGGCUUAACAUGGCGGGGAACAAUGAGCAAAUGGAGAACAUCGAAGUGGAUGGUAAUGAACACGUACAGGAAU